AGCAUGGCCUCCCAGCUCGCUUGCAUCUACUCCGCCCUCAUCCUGCACGAUGACGAGGUCACCGUGACGGAGGAUAAGAUCAAUGCUCUCACUAAAGCAGCUGGUGUCAAUGUUGAACCUUUUUGGCCUGGCUUGUUUGCAAAAGCCCUGGCUAAUGUCCACACUGGGAGCCUUAUCUGCAAUGUAGGGGCUGGUGGACCUGCUCCGGCAGCUGGUGCCUCGCUCCAGCAGGCGGUCCUGCCCCCUCUGCUGCCCCUGCCCCGGCUGAAGAGAAGAAAGUGGAAGCAAAGAAAGAAGAAUCAGAGGAGUCUGAUGAUGACAUGGGUUUCAGUCUUUUUGACUAAACCUUUUGUUAACGUGCUCAAUAAAAAGCUGGACCUUUUGGUCUGUUGA